GCUUUCCCUCCAUUGAAACCCAUUCAUAUUUUUCGAUCUCAUAGGCAUGGGCUCUCCCAUGGGAGAGCUGUAUGCAGAUUCAAAGAUGCUGAUUAAUUAGGUUUAUACAUGGCUGGAAUGCUAGUUAUAAAUCUACGGAGCCCCUCAGGGGUCACACCGUUCCCUCGGAUUCCCAAUCCGUGCGCAUGAAUCUGUUUCGUUCUACGCAGCAGAAGUUCCCCAUGAAGCGUUUUGACGGCUUUGUGACACAGGCUUAAUGCAUGAGUAUGCCUAGGCUAGAUAUGAUAUAUUUAAGAUGAAGCCAAACAUGCUUUAUUAUUAUUAUUAUUAUUAUUAUUAUUAUUAUUAUUAUUAUUUUGAACAAACAUUCAAAUAUCAUCAUUCAAAGUAGGCUACUCAACAAAAUAGAAGAAAAACAAUGUUUUAACAUAACAAUAUUUUGUUUGCUAUGAACAGAUAUAUAGGCUACGGAGCCCCUCUGAUGUCACUCACAUAGUAAGUGUGUAGGCCUACAUUUUUGUUUAAAUCCGUUUUGUAAACCGUUCAAUCGGAUUCCGAAACAGUGCGCACGGAUUUCCCAAUCCGUGCGCAUUUGGUUUGUUCUGCUCAGCAUUGUUUCCCCAUGAGCAUUAUUGGGGAAACAUCUGAUUAUCUGAUUGGGACCAGCGUCCAUACAGUAUGGAUGACUGAAUUUAGGGUUUAUCUUUUCACAUGUACAGUUACGUUGGCUUGACCAUCCUGUUAAAGUUAGGGCCUUCUCGUGUGCUAGUUGUAGCAUGACGUAGGCCUAAAGCACCUCAACCACUGACAUACUAUCGUGUGGGCAUAAACUACUGAGAGUAGGCUAUAGGCUAUCGCAGGGGUUUUCAUAAAUAUUUUGUCAAAUGCAUAAUAUCUGUUCAUUGUAGGCUACACCAAAUAUUGUUAUUUUUAUAAAUUGUUUUGAAGUUAUUGUUGAGUUCUUUGAAUGACGAUGUUUCAAUGUCUGUCAAAAAUGACUUAUGUCUGACUGAAACACCAUGUUUGCCUCAUAUAUCUUGGCCUUCAUUUGCUGUGUACAGUAAGCCAUCACGAUGCUUCAUGGGGAAUCCCUGCUGUGUAGAACGAACCAAAUGCUCUGAAUGAGUUGAAUGUAGUUCUGAAGAAGGUUCUGAGUUCAGGUAAGUUAAGCAGUUUAAAACCUGAAAAGGCAAACGCAUGUGGUAGAUCUUCAAAAAAAAAACGUUUGAAACACGAGUGAUGCACAACAGAGAUGACCAUGAAGAAUGUUAAAUUAAUAAUUAGGGUAUUUAUUGAUUUUAAAAAUCGUAAAAAUCAUGCUGAAGAAUUGUAAACAAUCAUUCCAAAUAUGCAAUUUGUCCCCUCACAGGUCAGUUCAAGACAGGUGGUGACGUUUCAUAAGAACAGGUAUCACCCUCCCCAUCGGACUGAUCAGACACACCUGCAGCCCCUCAGCAAUCAAGUGGAUUGGUAUAAAGCUGCAGGGAUGAGAGCAUACGUGGCCAGUGGGCCAGAUAGGCGAACCGAGUGGGGUCGCUGUCGGUCGCUGUCGGUCGCUGUCGGUCGCUGUCGGUCGCUGUCGGUCGCGAGUCGGAGCUAUGUGGGAGCUAUGUGGGCUCUUCGUCGUGGCAUUGCUCCCUCAGUGGAGGGAUAUUGUUAUUGGUUCUUUCUGUGUUGAUUUAGGACUCAGUUAUGUAAUAAAUGGUAUAUUGGUUGAAA